GUCCCCUUCGUCUAGUGGUCAGGACACCGGGUUUUCAUCCCGGCAACACGGGUUCGACUCCCGUAGGGGAUG
rnacentral:tRNA from 1 species